rnacentral:lncRNA from 1 species
UUGAAGUGCACAUGGGAGAAAUAAAAACACUAGUCAUUUCCAUGCCACUUACAACAUUACAUUCCUCACAGUUGAUUAACUGAGAAGAAGGGAAUUUUAACGUCAACUUUAUUGAAGGACUGGAGAGAAGUAGAGCAAGAUGGGAAAGGAGCAACACUACUUUAAGGAACAGGCCACAUUCCAAGCAGGGCACGCCUGAUUUGGAGCUACCCUGGACAGCAUGAGGCAUUGAGUGGAAGAGAAAACUGUAGCCCAGAAAGGGAAGUCGGAGAAUCUAAAGAUGAAUGUUGCCUACUUCACAGCUGUGUCAGGGAUAGGCUCUGGAAGUGAGCAUGAGUAAUCCAUAGAUGUGUGUGCGCAUAACCCAGACCCAUUUCUUUCAUGUUUAUUUUGAAGCAAUAGCAUAUGUUUCUCCAGACCUGGCGGUAUUUCUUUUAGUUAUUUUCUAUCCAAUCCUUCUUUUAAGGGAAAAAUGAGAAGACUAUGGUGCUGAAAAACACCUAACAGAGGAUUUUCUUUCUGUGACCAUCACCUCUACCUCCAACAUAUACACAAACAUACACACACUCUCUCACACACACACAUCUCUCCCUUUAGGACUUGUCAUGAUUUUGUAGUGAUUAUAAUUUGAGUUGAUUAUGCAUAUUUAAAUAGAAGGUGCAUUUAAAAUGUAGAUUAAAUCAUUGACACUGGGAUAUCUCUGGUGAGUACUAGAUAUUUUUAAUAGUUACAUUGAUACAUUUCAAGAAUUAGGAUGGGUUUUUUUUUUAAGAUUUUAUUUAUUCAUGAGAGACGGGGUCGGGGGGCAAGAGACACAGGCAGAGGGAGAAGCAGGCUCUAUGCAGGAGCCUGACGUGGAACUUGAUCCUGGUCUCCAGGAUCAUGCCCUAGGCUGAAGGCAGCGCUAAACCAGUGAGCCACCUGGGCUGCCCGAAUUAGGAUGUUUUUAAAAUUAUUAAAGACUGACAUUCUGUGCUGUAAGCUUCUUUGGUCAAAAUCAUCUCUACUACACAGUAGAGAAAAGCAGUUUCAAAACUUGGUUCAGUUAUCUCUAAUGCACUUUUUAUUCACAAAGGAAAAGAUAUACCCAGAUCACAAAGUUUGUAUGUUAUUAAUACCUUAGUAGUCUAAUUAAUGUGGUUGCAGGAAACUUGACCAUUGCUGGAUGUUAGUCUCAGAAAAAGUACCACUGAGACCAAACCCAUCCUUUCUUAUUUCCCUGCUAAGAGUUUUCCCUCUUAUAGAACUACUUCUCUGUCACUUCUUGGUCUUUGUACUGUUUUAAGAGAAUUGACUUGUGACACUAGAGUAUACCACAUAUCACUCUAGCCAAUGCUUUUUUCUCUAAAAAAAUCACACUUAACUAUAUUUCAGAAGUUAAUGAGAGAGGCUGUCUUGUGAUAUCAUGAGGAAGCUGGGGUUUCCACUUUCGAUGAUCUUUUAGCAUCUACUCUCUCUCUCUCUCUCUUUUUUUUAAAGUUAUGUUGUCCAACUUCAGGACCUCAAAUCUUGUGACUAAUUUCCCCUGCUGUAUGACCUGUAUAGCCUGUAUGACCAGCCCCUUAACAUGCUACUUUUUAAAAAAAGGUAUACAAUAACCAAAAAAUAUGCUUUAACACAGUAGUGCCAUCUUGCUUGAUUAGCUCAUAUAGU